ACGAGGGGGAAUCUGCAUGCAGAAAGGACAGGAGUGUGUACUGCGAAGACUGGGGCGAGGCUCUGACCAAUAAGAGCGUUCCAGUGAUUUGUGUGGUGAAUCUGCAGAGCGGCUCCGUCAGCAUGCUGCAGGACGUCCUGCCUGACGUCUCACCGGGACAGGCUUUAUGGGCUCCUGGGAGUCAAUCAGUGUUUUUCGUUGGUUGGUACCAUGAACCAUUCAGACUCGGACUGAAGUUCUGCUCCAACCGCAGGUCAGAGAGUUUUGUUUCUUUUCAGUUUUAGCCUUUUCUUCAGCAC